rnacentral:lncRNA from 1 species
GGGGAGCACCGCUUCGCCACGUGAUCGGCAGCGCGCCCGGAGUGAUCCGGCUGCGGGCCAGGGUCUGGGAAGGGGGUGGUGGGUCGCCGUUUCAUCAGAAGCCGGAGGACGGGCGCCAGGGGGCAACUUCCUACAGGAGGGCGUCCCGUUAGAAUGACAGGGCUUUUGCAAAAGUCUGACACCCGUGGCACAGAGCGCCCCAGAUAUGGAGGGUUUCACAGGCUCAUGUGUGGCUUCUUCAGUCCUCUCUUCAUUCACUCAUGUAUUCAUUUAUUCAACGACAUAUUACUAAGGAACCUCCUUAAGCCGGGAUGCUGAACGUGGAAAAAUAGUUGACUCUUGAACAAUGUGGGGGCUUGGGGCACCAACCCCCUGUGCAGUUGAAAAUCGACAUAUAACUUUGACUCGCCAAAAACUUCACUACAAUAGCCUGCUGCCAACCUGAAGUCUUACCAAUAACAUCAACAGUCAAUUAAACAUAUUACGUAUGUUAUAUGUAUUCUAUGCUGUAGUUUUACAAUAAAGUAAGCUGGAGAAAAGAAAAUCUUAA